CAAUGUAGAUUUGACCUUGUGGGCACCAUCAAUAAGGAACCAUUUUUGGUAUUGUUCAAAAACAUGUGCUAAUGACUCAAAAAAUCUCAAAGAUAAGUGGAUUGGUAUUUUACACCAUGUUGUUGAUGAGCAUGAGUGGGUGUUGGAGGAAGGUGUAAAUGGUGGAAAAUGUGAACAUGAUCCUCUUAAUGAAAGUGAGAGAAAGAAGCCAUGGCUUAAGAAAGAGUCUUCUGCCCAUAAAGCACUGGCAAAGAUCAUUCUCGACACUCGCUUUUUAAACACUUUGGUGUAUUAUGUUAACUUCAGGUAACAAAUGAGAUUGGAUAUUUGAAAAUUUCAGAUAAGUUAUAUCAUCUCAAAGUUUGAAAUUUGUUUUAGGAACACAGGAUUUUUAGAGUCCUUUCAUAAUGUAAUUUUGAUGUAUGCUCCAAAGCGCCAUGCCUAUUCGUAAGUAUAUGACAUAUUAUUACAAAGGUAACAGCUAAUAAAACUCCUAUCAUG